CGCUCCUCUCCCCUGCUUUCUUUUUCUGGCCGGCUCACAACCCAUCCGUCAAGCCGUGCCCCGAAGCUGACCUUUUGCAGAAAACAGCCUGCCUGAGAGAACCAUUUCUUUCUGGAGGGGAAAAAAGAAAAAAACCUCGCCAAGGAAUUUUAUUGAUGCUGGCAGGUCUGAUGGUGACCGGUGACCGGUGAGCCUCGCGCGGCCCCAUCCCUUCCGCCCCCUCGCAGGUGAGUUCUGUUGGCCUUAAGCGAGAAGGGGAGAGAGGGGUGGGGGACCCGACUUCCUUUGCCGUGGCCCUGUCGAAGUGUCUCUGCCCCCAGGAAUGUGCGCCAGGGUCCACCAGCCGCCUGCGGUGCCGCGGGGGCCUUGCCUCCUGCUAGGGCGCUCAGUUUCUACAGCUCCCCUCUCCAUCUCUGGUUUCUUCAAGGGCUCAGGGAAGAUACCAUGGCCUGCUCUUGGAGAAAAGGGCACCAUGGGAAAGGCAAGAAGAUUCACUUCAACCCUCUACAAGCCCGAACCCCAAAAUGGGCCUGCUCGUGUCUGAGCUCACUGCCUAACGUCUACCCAGCGCUCCCUCAGACUUGAGCUACAAAGUCAUCCACCCUCAGGGUUGGAAGAGACCUCAGUGAUCGCUUUUCCCACCCUUUCCCAAAUCUACCCCCAUCUGCUCUGACUCCUCUUGCGUCAAAUAUAUGGUUCUUAUUUCAACAUGCUGUGCCCAGUGAAAGCUCAAUAAAUAUUUAUUGAUGACGGUGCCAAUGAUGAAUUAACAGCCAAAGCUAUAAAAUUAAAGUUUCACACAAGGAGAGACCCUGGUGAGAAAGAAACUACUACAUAAAGCUUGAAAUUUUUCAAAAUGACAAGUGUUCACACACACAGACACACACGCACACACUGGGUGGCAGAACGAGGACCACAGUUCUCUAGGAAUCACCCUGGAGAACGAGAAAUGUCCUCAUUCGAUUUUCUGCUUCCAGAAUAUUUGUAGUAGGUUGGAUUAUGUCCCCCAGGAAAAAAAAUAAUGUUCUUAAUCCAUUCCUGUGUGUGUGAACCCAUCAUAAAUAGGACCUUUUGAAGAUGGUGUUCUUAGUUAAGGUGUGUCCCAGCUGAAUGAGGUUGGGCCUUAAUCCUAUUACUGAAAGUUUAUGAAAAGAAAGCCACGGUGGAGGAGCAAAAGCAGGAAGUCGGGAAACCCAGUAGAGAAAGGAGCGAACACUGAUGUGUGACAGAAGAGCCAAGGACUCAGGGAUCACUGGCAGCCAGUCCCAGAAUGCCACGGUGUUCAGGUAGGAAGCAUCGCCUUCCUGAUGGCCCAGUUUUGGACUUCUUGUGGCCUCCAAACCAUGAGCUGAUAUGUUUCCAUCGUUGAACCAACCCAUCGUGCAGUAUUUGUCAUAGCAGCUGGAAAACUAAGACAAUCUUCCCGCCUUUGUGGAAGGGCAUGCUUUGCUUCUCAGAGUCCCAUCAACGCAGUCUACCGGGAUCUGCCCGACCCUGGACUCAGAGUCUUACCUUGUCCCCUUGCCGGAACCACGGGCUCAUGGAAACAAAAUGGCGUCACUGAGUGCUUUAUCAGGUGUCCCCGAUGGACUGAAGUAAGUGCAAUAGCAGAUACAAUUCUGAGGUGGUUAAAACCUGGUGGGAAAAGAUUCAGGAGAGGACAGGUAGCUUGAACAAGAUUUUUUUUUUUAACAAGAUCACGUAUACCUAGAAGGAAAUGCUGGGGAAUGUCACCAUAAAGAAGCCAAGAUCUUGGAGGCCCAGGGGGUAGAGGCCAGUUACCACCAGCCAAUCACACACCAUGCCGUCUCUGGCUCCACCCCAGCAUGAUUGCAUGUGUGAACAUACUGAUUGUUGGACUAGGAAGAGCCUCCCGUGGUUCUUUUUCAGAACCAACUGACUGAGGUGAGUUUCCCCACAUCUGUGACUUCAGCAGCAGCCACAGAGGCAUGCUAGCCCCACUCAAUCUCCACCUCGUCUGACUUCGUACCAGUUCAGGGGAGCCUGCUAGGUCACAGAGGCUG
ensembl:lincRNA